rnacentral:misc_RNA from 1 species
CAUUACCGUGGGGGAUCUCGCGGAUCCCUACCGAGGAUAGGAACCCCUUGUCUUUGCAGGUACCCUCCGUUUCCUCGGCAGGUCCGCCCUGCCAACGGGGACAACCAAAAACUCUUGUUUGUAACAGCAGUAACCGUCUAAAAACAUAAUUAAAUUUAAAACUUUCAACAACGGAUCUCUUGGUUCUGGCAUCGAUAAGGAACGCAGCA